rnacentral:snRNA from 1 species
GUGCUUGUUUUGGCAGCACAUACACUAAAAUUGAAACAAUAUAGAGAAGAUCAGCAUGAUCCCUGUACAUGGAUGACACACAAAUUUGUGAAGUGUUCUAUAUUUCU